UUACUAUAAAUAGUGCACUGUACACUACUCUUUUCCAGUAUUCACAAAUCUCCAAUCAUGCACAAGGCCACGUGUGUAAUUCUCCUCUUGCUUUUUGUCGGACUUUUUGAUGUGUCGUCUGCAUCCUUUCCUCUAUGCACACAAUUAUGCAAUACAAAUAAAGGUAAUUGCCGAAAACCUAAAAUCGCCUGCAGUGUUUGUUGCAGACUCGUAGUCGGCUGCAGGUGCCCUCGUAUUGGAUGACCUUCACGAAACAGCUGGAUUCAAAGAUCACGUGGUUUGAGAAAUGUCCUCCAUAACUCUUAUGAAUUACUGGAAGUCUUUAUAUAGACAAUAUUUCUCAUUGUUUUCCAUAUUCCUUGUAUCAAUUUAAUUGUAUUUCUAUAUAAUUAUUAUUCAUUAUAUUGUAGUGUUUUGUUCAAUGGUGCUGGUCUUCAAUGAAUUUAAAAAAUAAAUAUAUACAUACAAAUAUAAA